rnacentral:rRNA from 1 species
GACGAACGCUGGCGGCGUGCCUAAUACAUGCAAGUAGGACGCAGUUGCGAACGGGUGAGUAACGCGUAGGUAACUACCUAUUAGAGGGGGAUAACUAUUGGAAACGAUAGCUAAUACCGCAUACUAGUAGAUGGACCUGCGUUGUAUUAGCUAGUAGGUAGGGUAAUGGCCUACCUAGGCAAGGAUACAUAGCCGACCGGGGAAGGUGGACGGCCCAAGUGGGAAUGAGACACGGCCCAGACACCUGCGGGAAGGAGCAGUAGGGAAUCUUCGGCAAUGGGGGGAACCCUGACCGAGCAACGCCGCGGGAGUGAAGAAGGUUUUCGGAUCGUAAAGCUCUGUUGUUAAGGAAGCGGUACUUAACCAGAAAGGGACGGCUAACUACGUGCCAGCAGCCGCGGUAAUUC